GUUUAAAAGCACUAAAGGACUCAGUUUAAAACUCAAGUGUAUUUACUGGGAAAAGAAAAACAUUCAGCCACAUACCUGAAUUUGUAUUAGUUUGUCAUUUUAGCCUUAAAAGGAAUCAGAAAAGAUGAGUCUAGUGAGUUUAAAAACUAGAACAGCAAUUCAGCUACAACACACACUGCAAUUUGGAGAAGGAGGGGAUUUUUCUAAGUUACAUAUGCAUCCUUCAACUAAAUAAUUCAACCGUUUCAAAGAUGGGGAAGUAAAAAUCAAGAAAAAGGCAGACAGGAUGAGAAGAUGGUGACAUCCUCCUGUUUGCAAUUCCAGAGGCAUCUCAUGGUUAAUUUUACUCCUCUGUGUGUAAUAAUAAACCAAUAUGUUCUCAAGUGUCACUUUCUCACUCCCCAAGAGACUUGCCCAACUCAGCACUGUCUGGGGAGGGGGGUUCAAAGGAGCCAGUGAGAACACCCACGGGCAGAGGCCAACAAGUCCAAGACCUCCUGGAGUGUAAGAAUAGGAUCUUGAUGACUGUUUUGAUAUCAGGAAAGCUGCCAAGCAACGGCCCAGAGUGAAAAACCCAGUCAAGAGGAAAUGAAUUUCCACGUUGUUUGGAGGGAUAUUCGUUACAUAAGUGAACAAUUUCCUGAUCAUGAGGGCAGUUAAACAUUGUGUGGGAUUAUGGAAUGCUCUUCCUUGGAAAUUCCUAUCAGUGUGGGCUGGCUUUAGCAUUUUCCUAUCAAAAAGAAUACAAGACUCAUUGUAUGGUGUAAUUGGCAAAGAGCUUGGACUCUGGAAUCAGACAAACCUGGAUUUUACCUUAACACUAUGGGAAAGCUACUUCAAUUCUCUACACUUCAGUUUCCUCAUCUGUAAAAUGGGAAUAAUACCUGCCUCUUGAUAUGGUAAUGGGAAAUGGUUAACUGUUAUUAUCUAAGCAUACUGGGAACCUAAAGGGGAUAGUGCCAAUCAUAUCAAAUUGUGUUUAUCUUGGAUGUGGGGGCAGAUGGUAAAGUGUAUUUUUUUACCAUGGUUCUGAAUCUACAUUUAGUAUGGAAAGUCUUUCCCAGGCCAAAAUGUCUCAAGAUUCUUCUCUGAAGUCUGAAUACCCUAGAAGACCUUGGAUAGGCUUCUACUGUUAAGAUUCUAUUAACAGAAGCCAGGGAGAAAAGCAGACUUGAGAAGUUGGAGGGAAAACAGCCUGUGAUGGCUCUUUUACCCUCAUCAAAAUCUAUUAAGAAUCUGGGGUGGAAUAGAAUCAUGAUUCACCAUACCCCAGAGCUAGAGAAAACUCCAGUUCAAAGGAACUGCAGAGUGGGGUUAAUUUUCUAAACUUAAGGACAACUGGAGAGAUUCCAACAGUCACUUUCUUAAUUUUUAGCCUCCAAAACAUCCAUUGUUAGGCAGAUUCAGCAUACCCUACCUCUUGCCAGCAUUGCCAAGUCCUUGGUUCAUUCCAUUACUUAUCCUCUAAAUUGGAUAAUUCACCCUUUCUCAACUAUUUAUGAAUGCUCCCUGUGUUUACCUGUCAUCUCGUGACUUUGUUUAUACUUUUCUUUUCCCCUAUGGGGAUAACUGGGAAACCCUCACCCAACGCCACUACCUUCCCAAUUCUUCUGGAUUUUCUGGGCCCAUCGUGAAGACCAAACCUUUAGAGAACACUUUCCUCAGCUCCUGCCUAAAGUUAUCUUGUCUGCCCCCAAGAACACAAUGGGCAGAUGUAUGGAAGGCAUUUGGCAUGUAGAAAGCAUCCAAAAUAUUUGUCCUAUUUUAUCUAAAAGUGGUUUGGGAAUUUCUGGUGAUUCACAUAAAAACUUUGGGUUUAUGGAUGGAGGCAAGGAACAAAAUGAAUUUCAUUUGCAGACUUUAUUUUCCAUUAGAAAAUGGGGUUGGGGUCAGGCAUGGUGGUGCAUGCCUGUAAUCCCAGUGACUCAGGAGGCUGAUACAGGAGGACUGCAAAUUCAAGGCCAGUCUCAGCAACUUAGUGAGGCCUUGAGCAACCUAGUGAGACCCUUUCUCAAAAUAAAAAAAUAAAAGGUGCUAGGGAUGUAGCUUGG
rnacentral:lncRNA from 1 species